AUGAUUCUGAAGUUUGGGAUAUCAGUGAUCUCAUCACCAGAAAACACAGUAAAGGUUCUUGCUCACACUUUCCCGUUGCUCCCUCUGCCUCCUGACUGCCUCACUCUUCCCCGUGUGACCUCUUCUCGUGGGAUCUAUGUAGUACCUGGAGCUGUGCAGCUGGUUUGUAACUAUAAGUUGAUGAACAGAGAUGUUGGGCCUGGCGCCAUGGAGCUGUUGAAGACACACCAAAAAAACAGUCUAUCUUUUGACUUCUAUUUUUUCGUGUGGAACAAAACUAUUGUUAAAAUGUUAUAGUUGAAUGUAGUUGAAUGCUUUGUUACUUGCAGCUAAAUACAUUCCUAACAAGUAAAGGAGAGAUUAUAACUAUAAUCUUAUUAUAACUGUCUAUAUUAGCUACUAACUGAAUAUAUUAUAUUUGGGAAAUAAUAAUUAUGGUAAUCUAAAUUAUUAACCCAGUUUUCUCCAAAAUAAUCUAAAUUGGUUUAAUAUGGGUAACUGAAAACAUACAAUAUGGUAAAUGAUGAAAUAAAUAAAUGUCAAAUAGGUGAGUGUGACAGAGAAUUAUUGAAAAUGUACUGUAUUUUAUUUUAGAAAUAAAAUCUGCUGUGUGUAUUCACUUUUGUGGUUAUUUCUCCCCCUUUUACCAUGGCUUCCCAUACCUAUAAAAAAUGAGUUCACACUAAUUAUCUGCAAAUGGGACUCAUCGCUACAGUGAAAUCGAGUCUCUCCUCGAUCCUAAUCCAAAUUUAACUGUAACCUAAAUGAUACCUGACAGAAAUAUGCAGAGGUCACAGAGUCCCUGCCUGUCAGAGACAUUAAUCAAACAAAUGUCAUUUGUGCAGUUCAGUAGCUUUAUAUAAGAAAAUUUAACUUAAACCUUAUAAAACAGUAAGAUUAAAUGAAAAUACAUACAAUGAAUUUAGAAUAAAAAGGCAAAACUCUAG
rnacentral:lncRNA from 1 species